AGGAGUCCUACAGAUCACGAAGCCGGAAGCCUGCAACUGACAGGAAACCAGUUUUCCUUUCGUCCAUGUCGCAGUAGUGCUAGAAGUUAAAAGGCAAGUGUUUUCGACGUUUCGUUGAUAGAAGACGCUAGAAGUACAGCGGUGGAAAUGGAAUGAAGCAAAGAACGGAGCAGCAUCCGUUAGCUGGCGGGGCCGAUACUGAAGUGUGGGGAGAUUUACGAGAGGAUUGAGAGCGCCAAGCAGCAGCAGUUGAUGGGGGUUGGGGAAGCAGAGGCCUGAGUUUAUUGAAGGAUUUGGAGUUUGAGAAAAUGAACAUGUUUCUGGAGGCUCAGCUUUAGCUUGAGAACUUGAAGCGGCCUUCCGGAAGUGCUUCCUGAUCAGGAAAGAAGAUGUAGCCGAGAUGCCAUCAACAUGUAACUCUCGGAAGUCAGAGCAGUUACAAGCCCACCCCAAAGACUGGCAAAGUAGUGCUUAGUUCUUAAGCGCUUGUAGGAGAACAUCAAUUGAAUUUACAGAGUCUUAGCUGUUGUCAAUAUUUGUUGUUGCUCUAGUUGUUGUACAUUACUCAAUUUACUUCUAGUAUGUUCAUGUGACUUUCAACAAAUCUGCAGCAGUAGAAGGUGUAAUUGCUAGCCUGAUUUUGGUUGCUGAAUGCUUAGAUUAAAGUUUAAUGAACUGUUUCUUUCAUUUAAGAAA